rnacentral:rRNA from 1 species
UACGUAGGGCGCAAGCGUUGUCCGGAAUUAUUGGGCGUAAAGAGCUCGUAGGCGGUUUGUCGCGUCUGCUGUGAAAUCCUCAGGCUCAACUUGGGGCGUGCAGUGGGUACGGGCAGACUAGAGUGCGGUAGGGGAGACUGGAAUUCCUGGUGUAGCGGUGGAAUGCGCAGAUAUCAGGAGGAACACCGAUGGCGAAGGCAGCCCCCUGGGUCAAGAUUGACGCUCA